GUCAGUUAUAAAUAUAUUGCAUGUAUUCUUUUAAUGAAAAUGCAGGUAUAUAUUCAAUUUUAGUUUAAUUCUGGGUAUUUCAAUUAUAUGAAACAUAAGUAUAUAACAAGAAAAAGCUAACAUUUGCCUCUCUGGGAGAGGGCAGGGAUUUGUACCAAAGUCAUAUUUUUCUCCGUAUAUUCAGAUAACAUCUUUGUUUUUUAGUUCGGGGUGCAAACAAUUGUUAUUUAUUUGCUUUUUUUCUAAAGCAAUCUUUUUUUUUAAAUACUAUGUGUACUACCAUUGUAAUAAUACAGAUUAAUUAAUAUAGACCGUGUCGUACAUCGACUUUUCUAACUCGCAACUCGAGUUCCAUACGAAUACCUCUGUGUCUAAAUUUAAAAUUGACGUGAACAAAUUCUGCUUUUUCAUUGAACUAAUGCAAACUUGUUUUAUUAAAUCCCCGUUCUCCUCUUGUCUCCCUUAUAGCUUAAACGGAAAUCGUUGUUGCCCGAGUAAUUUCGGUCCAAGAAACUCGGACAACUGUUGUAAAUUAAUUCAAGGUUAAACAUAUUGGACAUUUGAUUGUGAAUAAUGUAUUUGCUGCAGG
rnacentral:lncRNA from 1 species